rnacentral:lncRNA from 10 species
GGCUUUCCGCUUUUGGCGCGGCCUUUGUCUCUAGCUGCAGCCGGCGUUUCAGGUCUCGUCUUCACUGGUCUGUGUCCUAUUCUCCUGGAGGCCCAGCCUCUGUGGCCCUGUGACCUGCAGGUAUUGGGAGAUCCACAGCUAAAACCCCAGGACACCCUGGAAGCAUAGAAAUGUCUCCCUCUGAUGCCGAGCCGAAGCUGGACUGUACUGCUGCCAUCUCGGCUCACUGCAACCUCCCUGCCUGAUUCUCCUGCCUCAGCCUGCCGAGUGCCUGCGAUUGCAGGUGCGCGCCGCCACGCCUGACUGGUUUUCGUACUUUUUUGGUGGAGACGGGGUUUCGCUGUGUUGGCCGGGCUGGUCUCCAGCUCCUAACCGCGAGUGAUCCGCCAGCCUCGGCCUCCUGAGGUGCCGGGAUUGCAGACGGAGUCUCGUUCACUCAGUGCUCAAUGUUGCCCAGGCUGGAGUGCAGUGGCGUGAUCUCAGCUGGCUACAACCUCCACCUCCCAGCCGCCUGCCUUGGCCUCCCAAAGUACCGAGAUUGCAGCCUCUGCCCGGCCGCCACCCCGUCUGGGAAGUGAGGAGCGUCUCUGCCUGGCCGCCCAUCGUCUGGGAUGUGAGGGGCCCCUCUGCCUGGCUGCCCAGUCUGAAAGUGAGGAGGGUCUCUGCCCGGCCGCCAUCCCAUCUAGGAAGUGACGAGCACCUCUUCCCAGCCACCAUCCCAUCUAGGAAGCAAGGAGCGUCUCUGCCCGGCCGCCCAUCGUAUGAGAUGUGGGGAGCGCCUCUGCCCCGCUGCCCCGUCUGGGAUAUGAGGAGCGCCUCUGCCCAGCCGCGACCCCGUCUGGGAGGUGAGGAGCGUCUCUGCCUGGCCGCCCCAUCUGAGAGG